rnacentral:rRNA from 1 species
UACAGAGGUGGCAAGCGUUGUUCGGAAUUACUGGGCGUAAAGGGCGAGUAGGUGGCCAUCUAAGUCAGACGUGAAAUCCCCCGGCUUAACCUGGGAACUGCGUCUGAUACUGGACGGCUUGAGUAUGGGAGAGGAACGUAGAAUUCCAGGUGUAGCGGUGAAAUGCGUAGAUAUCAGGAGGAACACCGGUGGCGAAGGCGGUACUCUGGGCAUGUCCUGACGCUGAGGAGCGAAAGUGUGGGGAGCGAACAGG